UACGAAGGGGGCUAGCGUUGUUCGGAAUUACUGGGCGUAAAGCGCGUGUAGGCGGGUCUUUAAGUCAGGGGUGAAAUGCCAAGGCUCAACCUUGGAACUGCCUUUGAUACUGGAGACCUUGAGUCCGGGAGAGGUGAGUGGAAUUGCGAGUGUAGAGGUGAAAUGCGUAGAUAUCUGGAGGAACACCGGUGGCGAAGGCGGCAUCCUGGACCGGCAUUGACGCUGAGGAGCGAAAGCCAGGGAGCAAAGCGGG
rnacentral:rRNA from 1 species